GGAGAGCUUUAUUUGGAAGGACACUGGGGGAGGGCUGAUUAAACAGGCUUCUGGCUGCAUUCAAUUUUAUCUGGUUCGGGGAGAUUUUGCACCUUUCUUGGAGACUGUACUAGCUGGGAUUAGCACAUUCCAUUUCCUGCACUCCUCAUAAGGCUGAGAACUAAAGAAAAUUAAAAUAAAGAGCUGAUCAUGCCGAACAUGAUUUUCUCUUCCUGUAUACCAGCCUAGCCCUGCUGACUUCAGAAGAAUGUCUCCUGAUCUGUUCUGGUAAGAGAUGAGAAAGCCACUGAUUUUCUACCUUAGAUAAGUUGCUGGCACAACAGCAGAAAUACUGCAUGUGUUGGAGAAAAAAAAAAAAAACACAGUGGGCACAAACAGAAAGUCCCACACAGCUCAGUUAGUUUAACUUAAGAAAUGUUUUCUCUCAAAAAAUGCCAAUAAGCUAGAGCAACAUUAUAUUUAAUAGUGUGGAAAAAUUCCACAAUAUAGCCAUAUGAGAAAUGUAUUUAAUUUUCCUUUUUUAAGCAAGUCAGCAAGUGAGUGCAUAUUACUAAGUUUGCUAGCGCAGCCUAGAAGAGCAUAUUGAAAGAUCCUCUAUAAUGCACAAUUAGAUGCAAAGUUAAAAUGGAGUGCUUUGUGUAGCUGCAGAGCACUUUGCUACACUGAUUGGUUUCAGAUGCUGUGAAUCUCCAGUCUUGUUACUGGCAGACAUUAGAACAGCAUAAACUUUUUGUCUCUUAUUCUCUUCUUAAUGUACAGGGCAUGGUGGGACAGAAUAAACAUAGCAAGGCACCUAUGCAUUGGAGAUGGUUUCAGUGAUUAAUACAGCUCUGGCAUAGGCAGGCACAACUCUUAUUGACUUCAGUCAGUGUUGCACUGGAUUACCCUAGGGAUGAGUUUGAUCCUCAGACUCUUUCUAGUAAUGAGUGCUCUGGCAAGAGCAUUAAGCACCACAAGCAGAGAAUUAGCAGGUCCAGAAUUAUCCAUGCUGUCAACAGAAAUGGAGAGCAAGCAGGAGACUGGAGGAAAAUAUUGUGUGUGCUUUACUGGUUUGCAAAUGUACGCUCACUAAAUCAGCAGCAACACAUUGACAAAGCUAGGAUUUUUUUCUGCUCCCUUCUAACAGGAUGUAAAAAAAUACUUAUUUAAUAGUGUAAGGCAUUUAUUCAGAUGCAUUAAUGGCAAGGAAAAGUAGGUAGUUAGAUAGUAAGAAAUGUGAGAAAACUUGAUGUGAUGUUGUCUUUGAGAGGUAUUUAAAUUACAGAAAAACACUUCAUAUACAAAAGUUGCAAAGCAGUAGAUAUCCCACCUUGAAAAUAGAUCAUCAAUAUCUUAACAUGAAUAAGGUAGCUCAGAUUGGCAGUACAAGCAGUCUGGGGGUGUUUAUGUCUGUUCUUGUUAAAACUGCUCAGUUCCUCUCCAAACUCCAAGUAAAGCCUUUCCGUUCAAUUUGAUUUUAUUUCAUGACAGGGCAAGGGCUACUCUCUGAAGGAAAGGACUACAUUUUAAUAAUCUCAAAUAGAAAAAAAAAGAUAUCCAGAUAGAAGAAAAAAACCAGCAGCAGGCAUCAAAUGAGACAGAAAGAAGUAACAAAGAAAUCAGCAGUCUCACUGAAACGAUUCUCAUCUGAAACAGGUGAAGGACUUAAUUCAGAAAGCUACUAAGUAAUGCCUACAUUGCUUUUAUACCUUAAUCUUCUUUGGUGAGAAUGAGUUUCAUAUCCAGAAGACAAAUCAAGCACUCAAACGAUCACGGUGCAUUUUAAGAAAUUGUACUUCUGGCUGCAGAAUUCUGGAUCAAUCAAUUUGGGAGAAGACUUAACAGUCAACUAUGGUCAGCAUGGAAUCAUUUGAAGGUGCUGAAUGGAGCUUGUGAAAUCAGCAAAACAAAUUACUUUAACGAUACUACUUACAUGAGUAAUGCAGAUGAGCUUCUUCCCCGGAGUCAUUUGUAUCUAUUUAAGACAGUAAGUAUUGCUGAAUAAUGACAGAAACACUAUGUAUAUUUUUAAAGGAAAUCAGUACGAAAAGAAAAUCUACAGAUUUAUCACUUCUCCCUGAGACAAUGCCUGGAGCUGUGCUUGGUUUAAUUAUUUUUAGGGACGUGAUCAAUCAACGUAGCAACCGCGGCACAGUAUAUCCAAUACACUGAAAAUCUAAGCAACUAUCAAGCAAGUACAUGCUGUAAAGUGUCUGUUAAAUACCGAUUAGCGCUGUGAAGCUGGAGAUCCAGAAGCUGCUACAGCAGCUUGUCAGAGGCAGCUGCAGACCCUUGCAGUGCCUAUAUACCAUUUUUUCCCCCCCUAAAUACUGCAGUCAAAACAGUUUGAUGUCAAAUCAUUUGUCAUCUAUCUUUAUGCUUCUGCUGAACGAAGGCUAAAGCAGAGGGUAUUGGCAUACAGAAGCAUUUUAUAACUAUGGAAUCAGUAAUUGUUUAAUCGUGUGAAAGCAAAAGCAAAGAGUGGACUGGGAGCUGUGAGCAUGGGGCAUUUGGUGUGUCUGUGAGAUGGGUCCUGGUGGGAAAAAAAGGCCAUCUUCUGCUCAUUAAAGUAUUACCCAUUUCAAUGCAGAAUUAAUCUCCCUCUUACUUUUGUCGAAAGGAUUUAUGUGUUUGUACUGUCCAUGAACCGAUAAGACACAGCCACACACAGCUUGCCUGCUAAGCAAAGCAGGAAACAACAACCACCACAAAAACCCCGAAAAAAGAUAUUUUCCUGUCAUAACCUUUCCUUCCUUCUUUCUUUCUUUCUUUCCUUCCUUCCUUCCUUCAUUCCUUCCUUCCUUCCUUCUUUCUUUCCUUCCUUCCUUCCUUCCUUCCUUCCUGCCUUCCUGCCUUCCUUCCUGCCUUCCUUUUCAUCCUUCUUUUCCUUCCUUUCCUUCCUUAGUUAUGGAUAGCUUUUCACACACCUGUAUGCGUGCAACAACCAAAGUGCCCAGGAACAGCAGGAACAUCGCAUAUUCUGCAAUAUUCCUCACAAGGCAUACAGACAAAGAGAAAAAAAAGAUGUUAACCUCCCCCAACAAACAUAGCUGAAAACUUUUCUUCGGGGGAAAAGGGAAAAAAAGCUUGUUGCACUCCCCCCCCCCCA
ensembl:lncRNA